rnacentral:lncRNA from 1 species
CACGACAUCUCUGUACAUCUUCCAUUUGGUAGACAGCCUAAUAGUUCUUUUCUCCUACAUUUUCCUUCAGAGUCUCCCAAAUACUGAGCUAAUUCUGGCAAUUCAUGAAUCAAUCUCAUCAUCUAUGUAUGUGGAAAUCCCUGGAAAGUAUAAUGCCAAGGUGAGACAGUGAAAUCCUCCACUUGAAGCUCACAGCCUAGAAUUUCUGUAGUUUCUACAAACAUGUUCCUGAUAGGACUGUUGGACAAAUAACUUACAGAAGACUUCUGUAAGAAACGAUAGCAGA